rnacentral:rRNA from 1 species
GACGAACGCUGGCGGCGGGCUUAACACAUGCAAGUCGAACGGAAAGGCCCUGCUUUUGGGGGGUGCUCGAGUGGCGAACGGGUGAGUAACACGUGAGUAACCUGCCCUUGACUUUGGGAUAACUUCAGGAAACUGGGGCUAAUACCGGAUAGGAGCUCCUGCUGCAUGGUGGGGGUUGGAAAGUUUCGGCGGUUGGGGAUGGACUCGCGGCUUAUCAGCUUGUUGGUGGGGUAGUGGCUUACCAAGGCUUUGACGGGUAGCCGGCCUGAGAGGGUGACCGGCCACAUUGGGACUGAGAUACGGCCCAGACUCCUACGGGAGGCAGCAGUGGGGAAUAUUGCACAAUGGGCGGAAGCCUGAUGCAGCAACGCCGCGUGCGGGAUGACGGCCUUCGGGUUGUAAACCGCUUUCGCCUGUGACGAAGCGUGAGUGACGGUAAUGGGUAAAGAAGCACCGGCUAACUACGUG